GGCCAGCGAUGGGGGCGAUGAUGUCGUACAAUCUAUGGCCGGCCGCGAAAGAAGGUCACCGAGAAUUAAGAAAGGUGCAGUCAAACCCAGUGUGCAGAAAAGAAAGAGGUCUCCUGAUUCAUCCGUGCCGAGACAGGGGAGAAUUUUGAAGAAACAAACAACAAGGAAGACUCGUGUCAAAAGCGAUAGCGCUAAGUUCAGUAGCGAUGACUUAGAGAAAGAAUCAAGUUCUAUUAUACCAGUAGGGCUGCAUAGGGUGACUCCGAUAAAAUGUCAUGUCAUACAGAGGCAGGUGGCUCCGUCACCAUUUGACCUGAACCUCAUCCCAAGAACCAGAAGUGUAUCAGUGGUCCAAGAAUUUUUCAGAUCCUUUACAGAAGAUGAGUCUGCCGAUUUAAAUAGAGCUUGGUUUGUGCAUGACAAACCAUGGACAAUCAAGCUGAUAGGAAGGGAACUUUGGAUGGCAUUUGUGAAAAGGGGCCCCAUUUCAAUAGAAUUGUUCGACGCAAUUACAAGGUUACUGCAAGAAGAAGAUGCAACCAUGUACAGAGAUUCGGGAUGUCAGGAACGGCAGUGGCGUCACCUUAUACCUCCAUGCUUUGGGGUACAGUUACUACACCAAAGCCUU